rnacentral:rRNA from 1 species
UACGGAGGGUGCAAGCGUUAUCCGGAUUCACUGGGUUUAAAGGGUGCGUAGGAGGGCAGGUAAGUCAGUGGUGAAAUCUCCGAGCUUAACUUGGAAACUGCCGUUGAUACUAUCUGUCUUGAAUAUUGUGGAGGUAAGCGGAAUAUGUCAUGUAGCGGUGAAAUGCUUAGAUAUGACAUAGAACACCGAUAGCGAAGGCAGCUUGCUACACAGUUAUUGACACUGAGGCACGAAAGCGUGGGGAGCAAACAGG